rnacentral:tRNA from 1 species
GGGGGUGUAGCUCAGUGGUAGAGCACCUGCCUUUUAAGCAGGGUGUCGAUGGUUCGAUCCCAUCCACCCUCA